rnacentral:lncRNA from 1 species
GAAGGAGAGGUUCUUCUAUGUCUGAUGCCCGACCAUGGAGCUAGGAUUACCCUCUUGGGGCUCUCUGAGGGAUUCCGUCCGUCAGGCUUCUAGCCUGGAAAGGGACGACCUUGAAGCCUCCAAAAAGCUCGAGGCCUAUCAAGCCCCCCUCCUCUCCGAACUUCUGAAGGAACAACUUUUGUUCAACGUCGGCCUGAGUCCUCUUAACCCUGCCGGUACCAUUUUUUUUCUCCCUUUUUUUUUUGCUGCUUCCCCUUUCUUUUAUUACAUCUCUGAGCCGUGUUGAUUUUCUUUUAUUGCAGACAUGGAUGCAGGCGUGGCUCGGAGGUUAGCUCAGGGUCUCAAGACCUAUAAGAGAAAAGAUG